GAUGAACGCUGGCGGCGUGCCCAAUACAUGCAAGUCGAGCGAACGGACGAGAAGCUUGCUUUUCUGAUGUUAGCGGCGGACGGGUGAGUAACACGUGGAUAACCUACCUAUAAGACUGGGAUAACUUCGGGAAACCGGAGCUAAUACCGGAUAAUAUUUUGAACCGCAUGGUUCAAAAGUGAAAGACGGUCUUGCUGUCACUUAUAGAUGGAUCCGCGCUGCAUUAGCUAGUUGGUAAGGUAACGGCUUACCAAGGCAACGAUGCAUAGCCGACCUGAGAGGGUGAUCGGCCACACUGGGACUGAGACGCGGUCCAGACUCCUACGGGAGGCAGCAGUAGGGAAUCUUCCGCAAUGGGCGAAAGCCUGACGGAGCAGCGCCGCGUGAGUGAUGAAGGUCUUCGGAUCGUAAAACUCUGUUAUUAGGGAAGAACAUAUGUGUAAGUAACUGUGCACAUCUUGACGGUACCUAAUCAGAAAGCCACGGCUAACUACGUG
rnacentral:rRNA from 1 species